rnacentral:rRNA from 1 species
GCAUUGGGAACUGCCAGGCUGGUGUGCCGGAGAGGCAGGCGGAAUUCCUAGUGUAGCGGUGAAAUGCGUAGAUAUUAGGAGGAACACCAGUGGCGAAGGCGGCUUACUGGACUGUAACUGACGUUGAGGCUCGAAAGCGUGGGGAGCAAAC